AUGAAUUUCAUAUAAAUUAUUUAGACUCAAAACAUGGUGGCUUUAGGUGCAUCGGCUAAGAAAUGCAAAGUGAUCAUCCAACCAGACCCAACCUGACUUGGUCGUUUUUUGGAAAGUUUUUAAAUCGAACCGACCUGGUUCGAUAGUUGAAACCUACCUAACCCAAUCCGCACAGGUCAGGUCGGGUCAUUUCCUUAAAAAUUGUUUUUCCACUUAUUUCAAUACUAAAAUUUUAAGACUUCCAAAUCAAUCCUUAAUUUCUUAAAAAAAAAAUCUGAAAAAAAAAAUGAAAAACGAAAAAAGCUUAAUUAAUUGGGUCAGCAGCAGCAAGUGAAAGGGAGAGAAAACUAUGUACUACUUCAUUCAAACUCUGAUUGUCUUUAUCUAAUUUGUUGUAUUCUUCGACAUCUUCCAUGUAGAAUCUCUCCAUACUUGGAGUUUCUUUUAGCCAAUUUUGAGUACAUAUAAAAACUUCCACAAUCCUCGCGGUUAAAGAACUAUGGAAGGGAUCAAGAAUUCUUUCUCCGGUACUAAAAGCAUUUUUUGAAGUUAUGGUAGACACUUUGGACGAAGUGCCAUAAUUAUUUAUUCUUUCUCCAGUACUAAAAAAACUCCCACAUUUGUUCCUCAUCUUCGUGCAGCAAGGUUUGCAUGCCUAUUCUUGCACUGGAUUAAAAUCAAGAAAUAUGAAUUAAAAUCAAAACAAACUUGACAAAGAAGCACAGUCAGCCAUCAACUAUACCAUGAUGACGAUUCAUCAUUACAGACUAGCGGAGUUUAUCAAAAACCAGAUGCGAAUAUAGGCUAUCAUCGAGGCCUCCAUAUGGAAACUGUCUGGUACAUUAUCUGCAGCUGAUUCCUGUUUGGUUGAUCUCUCUCCAUCUUCUUUUCUUUUCUGAAGUUCGUCAUGUACUAACAACACUAACUAAAACUUCCAAGAGAGGACAAGAAUCAUGUCUUCAUUCGUUUCCCAAAGAAUGAUUUGCUUUUGAUUUGUGUCCAAAGAAAGCCUGCUGAUACAACUGAAAGUAAAUUGCUGAGAAGAAUCUGAAUGUUCUAUCUCAAUGUGCUUAAUCAAGCCAAUGGGUGAGCCAAAAUAAUCGCACCACAAGAUGAGGACACGAACAAGGCACAUAAUUCAUGUGUCUCAUGCUCAAGUUUCUUAUCAUAAAGUACUGUCUCUAGGCACCCGAAGAAUUCAUUUCUACAUGAGAUUUUGACGCUACCUUUAGUUACUCGGUUCCCCAAGCGUUCAGUGCGUAUGUCCAGAUUGUCAUUUCUUUUGUUCUGGUCUUCACUGAACUUACCCAAUGUGGAAAGACCAAUUCACAUUUGUUCCUCAUCCUCGUGCAACAAGAUGUGCACGUCUUGCACAAGAUUAAAAUCAAGAAAAAUGGAAAAAAUAAAAACAAUUUUCUUAUGUCGUUGUGAAAGGUAUUGUAUAUAGUUUGCUUCAUUGUCGAAAGAAUAUUUUUAUUCAUUGCGGACACAUUUGGCUUACCG
rnacentral:lncRNA from 1 species